ACAGUUCACUUUAACUGUGUAUCGCAGUUUUAUCCACGUUACUUUUGUUGGACCUUGUUUAAUAAUUGAGAAGAUGCCAAAGACACGAGCUAAGACAAGAAAAGUUGACAGGAGGACCCUAAGAAAAGAAAGAUUUCAUCAUUUGGGAAAGAAAAGUUGGGAAAAGAGAAGAGAAAAGAAAUUAAAAGAUUGUGAUUCCUGUGUCUCUGUUUCUAGAGUCGAUGUACCAUUGCCUGUUGUGCAUGUAAGUUCUUCUUCAAUAAUUUUUAGUGAGUACCUAUUUAAAAUACAUUUAAAGUACAUUAAUUAAGCAGAAAUUGCAUGCAUUUUGACUCAAAACUAGUUACUUCUGUUGUGCCUAUUUGGGCAAUCUCCUGCCUAAUAGGUAAUGUUUUAAGGAGUGUCUGACUUUUGAUACCACCAUGAUUAAGUUUACUUUUGAUACCACCAUGAUUAAGUUUACUUUUGAUACCACCAUGAUUUUACCGCCAUCAUUUCAAAAAUAGUGUUCAAAUGCACUAUUUCCUUCCUACAUAAUGGUCCUACUUUACUUUUAGAGAUUUCCUACUUUUAGAGAUUUUGAGUAUUGUUAAUAAAAUUUUUCUUGACGUGUGCAA